UACGUAGGUCCCGAGCGUUGUCCGGAUUUAUUGGGUUUAAAGGGUGCGUAGGCGGACUGUCAAGUCAGCGGUAAAAUUGAGAGGCUCAACCUCUUCCCGCCGUUGAAACUGGUGGUCUUGAGUGGAUGAGAAGUACGCGGAAUGCGUGGUGUAGCGGUGAAAUGCAUAGAUAUCACGCAGAACUCCGAUUGCGAAGGCAGCGUACCGGCAUCCAACUGACGCUGAGGCACGAAAGCGUGGGGAGCAAAUAGG
rnacentral:rRNA from 1 species